rnacentral:tRNA from 1 species
GCCUGGGUGGCUCAGUUGGUUAAGCAUCUGACUUCAGCUCAGGUCAUAGUAUCAUGGUUCGUGAGUUUGAGCCCCGCAUCAGGCU